rnacentral:rRNA from 1 species
UGUCCUUUUUUUUUGGUAUUGUCUAUAAUGUUUCCUAUGACUUUCCAAUUAAUUGAAAUACACAAAAGUUGUGUAUUGUUUGUAACGAGGAAUUCGUAUGUAAUUCUAGAUAAAGAGUAACAAUGACCAUUUUUAUCUAUAAGUCUUGGCCAAAUUACGUGCCAGCAGUCGCGGUAAUACGUAAAAGACUAGUGUUACUCAUCUUUAAUCGGUUUAAAGGGUACCUAGACGGGAUAUCAAGCCUUAAUGGGUACUAAUUUCCUAGAGUUUUAUGAAAGAAUGUCGAAUAUCUAGAUGAGAGUCAAAAUUCAUUGAUACUAGUUAGACGGGUAACAGCGAAGGCUCCAUUCUAUGUAAAAACUGACGUUGAGGAACGAAGCCUUGGGUAGCGAUAAGGAUUUGAUACCCUAGUAGUCCAAGGAGAAAAUUAUGAGUGCCAUAGACUAGUUAAAUUUAGUUUAUAAAUGAAAGUGUAAGCAUUCCACCUCAUGAGUAAAGUGGCAACACCGAAAUUGAAAUCAUUAGACCGUGUCUGAAACCAGUAGUGAAGUAUGUUAUUUAAUUCGAUGAUCCGCGAAUAACCUUACCACGCCUCGAAUAUUAUAUUUUUUACAAGCGUUGCACGGCUGUCUUCAGUUAAUGUCGUGAGAUUUUGGUUCGUUCCUUAAAUUAACGAAAGCCCUUGUUUUAAUUUAUUUUAAAGCAAUUUACCGCUAUAUUUGGUAG